GCUUGUGAGCGAGGGAGUUGUGCUGUCUUGCAACAUGGUUUCAUUCGUCUGUGUUGGUCUUCUUAGCAAAAUGAAAGAUGUCGAGCGUCAAGUUGCAGAGGGUCCAUGAAGUCCGAUGAGAUCUGCAAGAGAGAUAUUCUCAUGAGAAAUCAUCUUGAGACCUCGCUCUUAUAAUCUAUCUAGGAAUAGCAUACUAUUCCCCAUAUGGAGACACUCGUAGAUCACCAUGGAGACUGGAGACUGUCAUCGUGGAUCGAAGGAGCCGGUUGAGACAUUGGCAAUGGAGGAAGGAUCUCGAGGCCAAUCUAUGUCUUCCUUGGUUUCAUUUAGCUCCAUGGAAGCAUCAUCAGUAAAAGGUGGUUUGGUGGGUGCAGGUGGCUGCUUCUCCCGAUCCAACAGCAUCUGCAAUGCACAAGAUACCGACGGCCUAAAUGUUGGGAUCUCCUGGGUGCAUAGAAGUCCAACAUGAAACAUCUUCAUCACUUCCUCUUUCACAGCAUCGCCAUCUGCGUAUCCGUCCAGAGUUAUAUUUGGAUCCAUCAACUGUUCCACUGUUCCUGAUUGAAAAUGCUUCCAUGCCUACACAUCCAAAGAUUAGACAUUUAGUGACAUCGGUCAUACAAUAUUGUUACUGAUGUUCUUUCUUAUGCUUCACUUUUUAUGCUCAUAGAGCAGAUACCGUGAAUGUGCAUAUCUUUUAUGCUUCA